UUUCGGUUGAUCCUGCCGGAGGCUACCGCUAUUGGAGUUCGAUUAAGCCAUGCGAGUCGCGAGAAAUUAGAUUCUCGGCGUACCGCUCAGUAACACGUGGGUAACCUGCCCUAUGCUGGAUAAUAACCUCGGGAAACUGAGAAUAAUGAUCCAUAGUUCACUACGCCUGGAACGGUGAGUGGAUGAAAGCCCCGGCGGCAUAGGAUGGGCCUGCGGCGUAUCAGGUUGUAGGGGGUGUAACGUACCCUCUAGCCCUCUACGCGUACGGGUGUUGGGAGACAUAGCCCGGAGAUGGAUUCUGAGACACGAAUCCAGACCCUACGGGGUGCAGCAGGCGCGAAAACUUGGCAAUGCGAGAAAUCGUGACCAGGGAACUCCAAGUGCAUCGGGUAAGACCGGUGCUUUUCUUGGCUCUAAAUAGGUCUUGGAAUAAGGGGUGGGUAAGGACGGUGCCAGCCGCCGCGGUAAUACCGGCGCCUCAAGUGGUAGUCGCUUUUAUUGGGCCUAAAACGUCCGUAGCCGGUCUGAUACAUUCGUGGGUAAAUCAACCAGCUCAACUGGUUGAAUUCUGCGAGGACGGUCAGACUUGGGACCGGGAGAGGUGUGGGGUACGCUCAGGGUAGGGGUAAAAUCCUGUCAUCCUGAGCGGACCACCUGUUGCGAAGGCGCCACACUAGAACGGAUCCGACGGUCAGGGACGAAGCCUAGGGGCACGAACCGGAUUAGAUACCCGGGUAGUCCUAGGUGUAAACGCUGUGGACUUGAUGUUGGGGGUGCUCCGAGCACUCUCAGUGUCGAAGCGAAGGUGAUAAGUCCACUGCCUGGGAAGUACGGUCGCAAGGCUGAAACUUAAAGGAAUUGGCGGGGGAGCACCGCAACCUGAGGAUUGUGCGGUUUAAUUGGAUUCAACGCCGGA
rnacentral:rRNA from 1 species